GCGACUUCGGUCAAGUGACUUUUGAACUUAGUGGCGGACGGGUGAGUAACGCGUGAGCAACCUGCCUUUCAGAGGGGGAUAACAUUUGGAAACAGAUGCUAAUACCGCAUAAGAUUACAGUACCGCAUGAUACAGUGAUCAAAGGAGCAAUCCGCUGAAAGAUGGGCUCGCGUCCGAUUAGAUAGUUGGUGAGGUAACGGCUCACCAAGUCGACGAUCGGUAGCCGGACUGAGAGGUUGAACGGCCACAUUGGGACUGAGACACGGCCCAGACUCCUACGGGAGGCAGCAGUGGGGAAUAUUGCACAAUGGGCGAAAGCCUGAUGCAGCAACGCCGCGUGAGGGAAGACGGUUUUCGGAUUGUAAACCUCUGUUUUCGGUGACGAACAAAUGACGGUAACCGAGUAGGAAGCCACGGCUAACUACGUGCCAGCAGCCGCGGUAAUACGUAGGUGGCAAGCGUUAUCCGGAAUUACUGGGUGUAAAGGGAGCGCAGGCGGGAUAGCAAGUCAGCUGUGAAAACUAUGGGCUCAACCCAUAAACUGCAGUUGAAACUGUUAUUCUUGAGUGGAGUAGAGGCAAGCGGAAUUCCGAGUGUAGCGGUGAAAUGCGUAGAUAUUCGGAGGAACACCAGUGGCGAAGGCGGCUUGCUGGGCUCUAACUGACGCUGAGGCUCGAAAGUGUGGGGAGCAAACAGGAUUAGAUACCCUGGUAGUCCACACUGUAAACGAUGAUUGCUAGGUGUGGGGGGUCUGACCCCCUCCGUGCCGGAGUUAACGCAAUAAGCAAUCCACCUGGGGAGUACGGCCGCAAGG
rnacentral:rRNA from 1 species